AUUGAACGCUGGCGGCAUGCUUUACACAUGCAAGUCGAACGGCAGCGGGGGCUUCGGCCUGCCGGCGAGUGGCGAACGGGUGAGUAAUGCAUCGGAACGUGCCCAUGUCGUGGGGGAUAACGUAUCGAAAGGUACGCUAAUACCGCAUACGUCCUGAGGGAGAAAGCGGGGGAUCUUCGGACCUCGCGCGAUUGGAGCGGCCGAUGUCGGAUUAGCUAGUAGGUGAGGUAAAGGCUCACCUAGGCGACGAUCCGUAGCGGGUCUGAGAGGAUGAUCCGCCACACUGGGACUGAGACACGGCCCAGACUCCUACGGGAGGCAGCAGUGGGGAAUUUUGGACAAUGGGCGCAAGCCUGAUCCAGCCAUGCCGCGUGAGUGAAGAAGGCCUUCGGGUUGUAAAGCUCUUUCGGCCGGGAAGAAAUCGUGUUCUCUAACAUAGGACAUGGAUGACGGUACCGGACUAAGAAGCACCGGCUAACUACGUG
rnacentral:rRNA from 2 species